rnacentral:lncRNA from 1 species
AAUGGCCACCUUUGGAGUGACCUUGGAGAUAUCUAUCUCGAGAUAUAAUUUUUUGAUCAGAUUAUGGUACUGACUGAAGGCAUAAUCAUAUGCACCAUCGGAGCUCUUAGAUACUUCAUCCUCAAACUCCUCGGAGGCUUUAUCCUCGAACUCUUCGGAGGCUUUGUAUAUCUCCAUCGCCUUAGCUACCUUGUCCUGCUCC